CUCAUUCCAAAGUUCUUUCCUUUGAAAAGGCAAAGAAAAUGGAUGGUUUACAACAUACCCAGGAGGACCAAACUGUAGGUUGCACAUCAGACCUGUAAAGCUAGAAAGGAGGAAAAUGACCGGUGGCUGGUGAGAACGUCAUCAACAGCCUGACAGCGUGGGAGAGAACGAGGAACAGGAAGUGGGAGAGGAAAAUCCCUCUCCACAGAGGCAGGAGAACGAACUACUGUCCUCAAAAGCAAGGGAAUUGAGCCCUAUGUUAUGUGAAAAUAAAAGCAACAGAUGAUGCUAUCCUCUUAUUUAAAAAACAUGCCACAGAGUAAUGAAGAACAGCCUGCAUAUGUGAGAGCCUUUUUUCCUUUGGUAGUGAUCUGCUUCAGUGGAGUUGUCACAUUAACUCGGUCCUCCUCUGAGAGACCUUCCCCUCAGCUGCCAGCAUCUGUGCUUCCAAUCUGGGAAUAUCGAUUGCACUGGUUCACAUUCCAUCUGCGGUCACAGGUGACAAACCGCGUCCCAACAGAGACAUCAGAGUUUUGGUGGCUGCCUCCUUAUGCCUUGCAGAUCUGUGCUUUUGAAUUAAUUCACACAGAUGUGCUUGCCUACCAUAAAGCCAAAAGUCAGUUUUACAGUUUAAAAUAACAAUCCUUUUAUAAACUCCCCAUCCUCUACCCACUAUUGUUUAAUGAAUAAAAGUAGUCAACACAGU
rnacentral:lncRNA from 1 species